CCGGGACACACACAUGCUUGCACGCACGUACCCACGCAGGCACGCACCCACGCUCGUGCCUCGGAGCCCACCUCAGAGAGCUUCUGCCCUGCGGUGGGAGGGCUUUGUGAAGAAGUUUAUCACCUCCGCUUAUAGCUGAAGUAACCAAGACCAAAGGCCUUGCUCAAAUCACAGAGCCAUUCGGGUGCAGGACAAGCACUUGGGUCCAGAAUCCACCCUCAAGCCUGCCUACCAUGGGGGGGUGCCCACCCUGCACUGCCCCCGUCUUCGCGUGGAGUGCUCUACACACCUGGGAAGUGUGCCGCCGAUCGCCCCACUUGACAGAUGGGAACACUGAGGAUCAGGAAGCCAGAUGACUUGCCUGAGCCAUGCCAAACUGAGUCCGCGAUCCCUGCUGAGCUGGCGCCGCAGACAGAAUCUACCCAAAUUACUAAAAGCUUAUUUCAAAUGAAAACAACCAAUAUCCAUGAGUUCGGAUCUCCCAAGAAAGAAC
rnacentral:lncRNA from 1 species